UUUCUGUUGUUUUUUCUGUUGUUCUCUGUUGUUUCCUGUUGUUUUCUGUUCUAUUCUGUUGUAUUUUAAUGUAUUCUGUUCUAUUCCGUUGUUUUUCUGUUGUUUCCUGUUGUUUCUUGUUGUUUUUCUGUUGUUUCCCGUUUUUUCUGUUGUUUUCUGUUGUUUCCUGCUGUUUUCUGUUCUAUUCUGUUGUAUUCUGUUGUAUUUUAAUGUAUUAUGUUCUAUUCCGUUGUUUUUUGUUGUAUUCUGUUGUAUUCUGUUGUAUUUUAAUGUAUUAUGUUCUAUUCCGUUGUUUUUUGUUGUAUUCUGUUGUAUUCUGUUGUAUUUUAAUGUAUUAUGUUCUAUUCCGUUGUUUUUUGUUGUAUUCUGUUGUAUUUUAAUGUAUUCUGUUGUCUAUUCUGUUGUAUUCCAGUGGUGUAUCAGAAUUGGUGUACGUUUAGAAAUAAGGGACGUUUAUGCAUUUUUUUCAUUGACUUGGAAAAAACACAAACGUUUGCUUAAUUAUGGACGAACGGCUUCGAGUUGCCUCGUGCAAUAUCAGGUAAUGUGGCCUAAAUACUGACCACUGGGGGGCGUGGACUAUUACAACAUAAUUUAGAGGUGUGCCGGCAGGUGUGUGAGGUGCCAGGUCAGGUGUGCCAGCGUUAGUUACCCCGUUAGGAGCGAUUCUAACACCCGCGUCAUCGGGGGCCGCCGGACCUGAGCCCAGCCCCGUACAGACAGUUUUUCUUACGUUGUGUCACUAAUUGUCGUUUGCAAGAGUCGCCACAACGCCCCACGCAUUCACUGUCGAUGGGGAAAGGCUUUCCUACACUGGCGUUAGCGUAGAUGAUAAACCACUACAUGCUUGAGAUGCCCCGUUAACACCUCGCCCCGCCCCCACCUUCCUGGCCUGCCCGCCCCCUGGCAUAAAUUGUUUCCAGAAACCCCUAAAUGACCGACUCUUCCAUGCCUGAGAUGACCCGCCCUGCCCUGCGUCAUGACCUCCCGGCAUACAUUGACAUAAGAAGAAGAGGAGGAAGAACAAGAGGAGGAGGAGGAGGAGGAUGAAGGGGACACACAGGAAUCAAAUGGCUGGGGAAGGAGACGGUGGCUGAGUGGUUAGUGUGCCGGUCCUGCGUUCACUGCAUCAUGGAUGAUGAGGGUUUGAAUCUGUCGCUGCCACAGACUACUUGUCCUGAAGACCACCACCAUCAUCCUGGACUGUAUGGGACUGUCCAAGGGAAAGCAAGAUGGGGCCGCUAUAAACACUUGCCGGCUUGGGCCCACCACCAGGCCCAGCCGAGGGAGGUUGGUGUAGCAGUGCCUAGAGGUUCCAUAACACAGGGCACUCCUCACCUCAACAACAGUCUCUUCACCGACAACUAAUUCUUCACCAACAAGCUUUUCAGCAGCUUGGAGAAAUAGAGGAAGAAGAGGAGGAAGAAGAAGAGAAGAUGAAGAGGAAGAAGAGGAGGAGGAGGAUAAGGACUUGGUUGGUGUAGCAGUGCCGGGAGGUUCCAUAACACAGGGCACUCCUCACCUCAACAAUAGUCUCUUCACCGACAAGUAAUUCUUCACCAACAAGCUUUUCAGCAGCUUGGAGAAAUAGAGGAAGAAGAGGAGGAAGAAGAAGAGAAGAUGAAGAGGAAGAAGAGGAGGAGGAGGAUAAGGACUUGGUUGGUGUAGCCGUGCCGGGAGGUUCCAUAACACAGGGCACUCCUCACCUCAACAAUAGUCUCUUCACCGACAAGUAAUUCUUCACCAACAAGCUUUUCAGCAGCUUGGAGAAAUAGACACUACCAAACGAAGAAGAGGAGGAGGAGGAGGAAGAAGAAGACGAGGAACACAGGAGGAGCCCAUUGAGUGUGCGGUGUCCCGCAGGCAGACCGAGAUGUCCGUUCAAUUCUGCCGAAGGAAAGAAGUCGUGUUAGUCAACUCUGAUGACUUGUACUUUUCUCUGCAAGGGACUGUUCUGUAAGCCAGUCACAGAAGAUGUGAACUGUAUCUGUACUAUGAAGUCUUA